rnacentral:rRNA from 1 species
AGAGUUUGAUCAUGGCUCAGGACGAACGCUGGCGGCGUGCUUAACACAUGCAAGUCGAGCGAAAGGCCACUUCGGUGGUACUCGAGCGGCGAACGGGUGAGUAACACGUGAGUAAUCUGCCCUGGCUUUGGGAUAGCCACCGGAAACGGUGAUUAAUACCGAAUAUGACCACGUACUGAUGGUGUGUGGUGGAAAGUUUUUCGGCCAGGGAUGUGCUCGCGGCCUAUCAGCUUGAUGUGAGGUAAUGGCUCACCAUGGCUUCGACGGGUAGCCGGCCUGAGAGGGUGACCGGUCACCUGGGACUGAGACACGGCCCAGACUCCUACGGGAGGCAGCAGUGGGGAAUAUUGGACAAGGGCGGAAGCCUGAUCCAGCAACGCCGCGUGAGGGAUGACGGCCUUCGGGUUGUAAACCCUUUCAGUACCGACGAAGCGCAAGUGACGGUAGGUACAGAAGAAGCACCGGCCAACUACUGCCAGCAGCCGCGGUAAUACGUAGGGUGCGAGCGUUGUCCGGAAUUAUUGGGCGUAAAGGCUCGUAGGCGGUUUGUCGCGUCGGGAGUGAAAACGCCGUGCUUAACACGGCGCUUGCUCCGAUACGGGCAGACUAGAGGUAUGCAGGGGAGAACGGAAUUCCUGGUGUAGCGGUGAAUGCGCAGAUAUCAGGAGGAACACCGGUGGCGAAGGCGGUUCUCUGGGCAUUACCUGACCUGAGGAGCGAAAGUGUGGGGAGCGAACAGGAUUAGAUACCCUGGUAGUCCACACCGUAACGUUGGGCGCUAGGUGUGGGGUCCAUUCCACGGAUUCCGUGCCGCAGCUAACGCAUUAGCGCCCCGCCUGGGGAGUA